GGGGGAAAAUUAAUAAAAUAUAAAUAAUAAAAAAAUUUUUAAUAUUGGGGGGUAUUGAAGUAUUUUUUUAAAAAAAAAUAAAUUAUUUUAUAGUUAAUUAGUAUUGAAAAAGAAAUUUGAAAUAAUUGAAAAUAAAUUAAUAAGAAAGUAAUUUUAAUUUAAUGUAUCUUGUGUAUCAGAGUUUAUUAAAAAAUAUUUUUUUUAUAAAAAAAAUCUCGAAUUUAAAAGAGUUAAUUAAUUAUAAGAGUUAAUGUAGAAAAAUUAUUUUAAAUAAUUAAUUUGAAAUGAAAUGUUAAUCGUUUUUAAAUAUAUCUAGUUAUUUUAGAAAAAAAUUUAAUUUAAAAUUUAAAAAAUUUUAUUAUUAAUUAUUUAAUUAAUAAUAAAAUAUUUAAAAUUAAAUAUGUUAAGGGAUAAGCUUUAAUAUAAAAAAUUAUAAUAAAUUAAAUUAAAAUAUAAAAAUUUUAAAAUUUAAAUUGUUUAAAAAUUAUAAUUUAUUAUAAAAAAUUUUAAAAAUAAUAAAAUUUAAUAUAAAAUUUAAUUUUAUAUAAAAUAAUAAUUUAAAAUAAAAAAAAAUUAAAAAUAAUGAUAAAAUUAGUAUAUGAUAAUAAAAAUAAAAUUUAAUUAAUAAAAAUUAAGUUAAAGGAAUUCGGCAAAAAUUUAUAUUCACUUGUUUAUCAAAAACAUGUCUUUUUGAAAAUAAUUUAAAGUCUAAUCUGCCCACUGAUAAAUAUAUUAAAGGGCUGCAGUAUAUUGACUGUACAAAGGUAGCAUAAUCAAUAGUCUUUUAAUUGAAGACUUGUAUGAAAGAUUUGAUGAGAUAUAAACUGUCUCUAAUUUAUAAAUAAAAUUUAAUUUUUUAGUUAAAAAGCUAAAAUAAAUUUAAAAGACGAGAAGACCCUAUAGAGUUUUAUAUUUUUUUUAUUUAAGAUUAUAUUUAUAAAUAAAAAUUAAAAGUAAAAAUAAUAUUUUAUUGGGGUGAUAGAAAAAUUUAUUUAACUUUUUUUUAAAAAUUAAUUACAUAAAUAAAUGAGUAAUUGAUCCAUUAAUAAUGAUUAAAAGAAAAAAUUACCUUAGGGAUAACAGCGUAAUAUUUUUUUCUAGUACGAAUAGAAAAAAAAGUUUGCGACCUCGAUGUUGGAUUAAGAUAAAAUUUAAAUGUAAAAGUUUAAAAUUUUGAUCUGUUCGAUCAUUAAAAUCUUACAUGAUCUGAGUUCAAACCGGUGUGAGCCAGGUUGGUUUCUAUCUUUAAAAUAAUGAAAUAUUUUAGUACGAAAGGAUCAAAUAUUUUUAAUAAUUAAAAUUUUAUGAAUAUUAAUAAUUAUAGUUAAU
rnacentral:rRNA from 1 species